rnacentral:SRP_RNA from 1 species
GCCGAGCUGAGUUACUACAGCUUGUGACCCGAGUGGGGGCAAUAGUGUGGUGGAACAUGGCUUUGGUUUACCAGGUCGGUCUGUUGGCUGCAACAAUCUGGCCUGCCCACUCCAAGUUGAGAGAUGGGCCAUGGGGUUUGGGCGGAAGGCUUGGAUCUCCUGGUCACUAGAAAGGAAGGAACCGCAUGAGGCUGGCUUCACAGAGCAGUGAAUACCUCCUGCUCUUGACAGUGGAGGGAUUACAGGCUGCUGCAUUCUCGGGCCACAUAGCCUGUUGAGCCUAGCCCAUUGAACCAUCACUUUU